ensembl:snRNA U1 U1 spliceosomal RNA
AUACUUACCUGGCAGGGGAGGUACCUUGAUCAUGAAGAAGGUUUAACCAGAGUGAGGCUCGGUCAUUGCACCCCGGCUGUUCUGACUUUGUGAAUUCCCCAAAUGUUGGAAUCUCGACUGCUUCAUUUUUGUUAGUGGUGGACACCGUACAUGCUCUUCCCUG